GAUAAACGCUGGCGGCGUGCCUAACACAUGCAAGUCGAAUGAUCCCGCAAGGGAGAGUGGCGGAAGGGUGAGUAACACGUGGGAAUCUACCUCCUCGCAGGGAACAACCUCUCGAAAGAGAGGCUAAUACCCAAAAGGGUCAGAAAUGAUCAGAGUCGAAAGGCGUGAGGAGAGGAGCCCGCGGCCCAUCAGCUAGUUGGUGAGGUAAUGGCUUACCAAGGCUACGACGGGUAGGGGAUCUGAGAGGAUGUCCCCCACACUGGAACUGAAACACGGUCCAGACGCCUACGGGUGGCAGCAGUGAGGAAUAUUGGACAAUGGGCGAAAGCCCGAUCCAGCAACGCCGCGUGGAGGAUGAAGGCCUUCGGGUCGUAAACUUCUUUAGAGGGAGACGAGAAAGGACGGUAUCCCUAGAAUAAGCGACGGCAAACUACGUGCCAGCAGCCGCGGUAAU
rnacentral:rRNA from 1 species